rnacentral:rRNA from 1 species
CUUGGUGAUUAGAGCGCGAUGGACCCACCCGUUCUCAUUCCGAACACGGAAGUGAAACGUCGUAGCGCUAACGAUACUGCCUGGGUAACUGGGUGAGGAAAAUAGGCCAUCGCCAAGA